rnacentral:rRNA from 1 species
GCUAGAGUAUGGCAGAGGGGGGUAGAAUUCCACGUGUAGCAGUGAAAUGCGUAGAGAUGUGGAGGAAUACCGAUGGCGAAGGCAGCCCCCUGGGCCAAUACUGACGCUCAUGCACGAAAGCGUGGGGAGCAAACAGGAUUAGAUACCCUGGUAGUCCACGCCCUAAACGAUGUCAACUAGUUGUUGGGGAUUCAUUUCCUUAGUAACGUAGCUAACGCGUGAAGUUGACCGCCUGGGGAGUACGGUCGCAAGAUUAAAACUCAAAGGAAUUGACGGGGACCCGCACAAGCGGUGGAUGAUGUGGAUUAAUUCGAUGCAACGCGAAAAACCUUACCUACCCUUGACAUGGUCGGAAUCCUGCUGAGAGG